GAUUCCGCAUGGUUUCAUUAUUAAAGGAUUCCGGUAAAGGAUGGGGAUGCGUUCCAUUAGGUUGUUGGUGAGGUAACGGCCCACCAAGCCUUCGAUGGAUAGGGGUUCUGAGAGGAAGGUCCCCCACAUUGGAACUGAGACACGGUCCAAACUCCUACGGGAGGCAGCAGUGAGGAAUAUUGGUCAAUGGGCGAGAGCCUGAACCAGCCAAGUAGCGUGAAGGAUGACUGCCCUAUGGGUUGUAAACUUCUUUUAUAUUAGAAUAAAGUGCAGUAUGUAUACUGUUUUGUAUGUAUAAUAUGAAUAAGGAUCGGCUAACUCCGUGCCAGCAGCCGCGGUAAUACGGAGGAUCCGAGCGUUAUCCGGAUUUAUUGGGUUUAAAGGGAGCGUAGGUGGACUGGUAAGUCAGUUGUGAAAGUUUGCGGCUCAACCGUAAAAUUG
rnacentral:rRNA from 1 species